GACGAACGCUGGCGGCGUGCUUAACACAUGCAAGUCGAACGGAAAGGCCCUGCUUUUGUGGGGUGCUCGAGUGGCGAACGGGUGAGUAACACGUGAGUAACCUGCCCUUGACUUUGGGAUAACUUCAGGAAACUGGGGCUAAUACCGGAUAGGAGCUCCUGCUGCAUGGGGGGGGUUGGAAAGUUUCGGCGGUUGGGGAUGGACUCGCCGCUUAUCAGCUUGUUGGUGGGGUAGUGGCUUACCAAGGCUUUGACGGGUAGCCGGCCUGAGAGGGUGACCGGCCACCUUGGGCCUGCGAUACGCCCCAGACUCCUACGGGAGGCAGCAGUCGGGAAUAUUGCACAAUGGGCGGAAGCCUGAUGCAGCAACGCCGCGUGCGGGAUGACGGCCUUCGGGUUGUAAACCGCUUUCGCCUGUGCCGAAGCGUGAGUGACGGUAAUGGGUAAAGAAGCACCGGCUAACUACGUG
rnacentral:rRNA from 1 species